UGAGAUGGUGGGGCGGGGGCGGCGGGAAGACGGGGGUGUGCAGGGUUGUGCGGAAUUGUGGGGGGUAGAGGUUGCGUGGGGGGUGUGGCAAGUCGGAGGUGAAAUCUCUGGGCUUAAGGCAGGGGCUGCUUCCGAAACUGCGGGGCUCGAGUGUGGGAGAGGAAAGUGGAAUUGCGGGUGUAGCGGUGAAAUGCGUAGAUAUCCGCAGGAACAUCCGAGGCGAAAGCGGCUUGCUGGAUCACAACUGACGCUGAGGGACGAAAGCUAGGGGAGCAAACAGGAUUAGAUACCCCAGUAGUC
rnacentral:rRNA from 1 species